UACAGAGGGUGCAAGCGUUGUUCGGAAUUAUUGGGCGUAAAGGGCGCGUAGGCGGUGCGGUAAGUCUGCAGUGAAAUCUCUGGGCUCAACUCAGAGUCUGCUGUAGAAACUGCCGUGCUUGAGUGUGGGAGAGGUGAGUGGAAUUCCCGGUGUAGCGGUGAAAUGCGUAGAUAUCGGAAGGAACACCUGUGGCGAAAGCGGCUCACUGGACCAUUACUGACGCUGAGGCACGAAAGCUAGGGGAGCAAACAGG
rnacentral:rRNA from 1 species